CAAAUCAGGUAGGAUUACCCGCUGAACUUAAGCAUAUCAAUAAGCGGAGGAAAAGAAACUAACAAGGAUUCCCCUAGUAACUGCGAGUGAAGCGGGAAAAGCUCAAAUUUGUAAUCUGGCGGUCUUGGGCCGUCCGAAUUGUAAACUAGAGAAGCGUUAUCCGCGCUGGACCGUGUACAAGUCCCCUGGAAUGGGGCGUCAUAGAGGGUGAGAAUCCCGUCUUUGACACGGACUACCAGGGCUUUGUGAUGCGCUCUCAAAGAGUCGAGUUGUUUGGGAAUGCAGCUCAAAAUGGGUGGUAAAUUCCAUCUAAAGCUAAAUAUUGGCGAGAGACCGAUAGCGAACAAGUACCGUGAGGGAAAGAUGAAAAGAACUUUGGAAAGAGAGUUAAACAGUACGUGAAAUUGCUGAAAGGGAAACGCUUGAAGUCAGUCGCGUUGGCUAGGGAUCAGCCUUACUCUGGUGGGGUGUAUUUCCUUGUCGACGGGUCAGCAUCAGUUUUGGUUGCUGGAUAAAGGCCAGGGGAAUGUGGCACCUUCGGGUGUGUUAUAGCCCUUGGUCAGAUACAGUGGCUGGGACUGAGGAACUCAGCACGCGCAAGCUGUGCUUAG
rnacentral:rRNA from 1 species